UUUAAUUAUCGCACAAAUAAUCAGAAUGCACGGAGAAAUAAACUAUUUUAUGUAUAGAUUAUUUAUACUUAAAAAUACGUGAAAUUAUAUCGUAAUCGUAAUUUCAAAAAUUGAAGAACUAAGAACUACCAGUCGAUUUUUAUACUAAUUUCUAAAAACUGGACAAUUAAUAAAAUACAUUAAGCAGUAUAUGAGAGUUUGAUUUUUUGAUGAAGGAAAGGCAAAGACAAUUUAUGCCUGGAUGUCGAAAGUGAUGGAUCGGGGAUUCAUUUAGUCCAAUCUGUUGUCUAGCAGUAGUGGCAUAGGUAGUCAUCGAUGACCACUACAUUGCCAUAAUUGAUGCAGUAGUCCUGGUCAGAUAUCUGUGCCAUCUACAAGUUCCUACACACUGUCUCAUUUACACAUCAUGUACAAAUGUUUCACAAAAAAUAUUUUUGAAAAUUCGCUUUGUUUCAAAAUAAUGCCCCUGUAUUGUUUACAUAUUUUAUUGGAUAACUAUUUUGAAUUAAAAAUAAACAUUGUAAUUUAAAAAAAUAAACUAAGCAGCACUUUUCACGACCAAACUUAAAAAGUAACUUUUUUUCUGUGUCUUUCAACAUGAAUGUUACUCGCAAUUUUCAUGAGAACUAGUUUCUUUGCAUCUGUAUGAUAUUCAUCUAUAUAUAAAUUUAAGAUUAAAUAGGUCUGAAACCAAACCUUUUAAAAGUUUUAACGUUGCCUUGUUCGUGAACAACGUCGUUCAUGCAGUACACUCCUUCUGUACACGCAACAAACGACCCCUUGUAUACACUCACUAGUUCACAAGAAUUGUUAUUGAAAGUGUCCACAUGUGUAGAACAUGUGUUAAACAGAUUAUUAAAGAAACUACAUUAAUUUGUGCUCGAUAGUUUAUUUCCUUAGAGUUAAUUAGAUUGAUAUACUAUAUUUCUCUGUUUCCUGUAUCUAGAAAAAAAGAAAAAAAAUAUCUUAUUUAAUAAUUCAGUUCUAGUUGUAACACUAUAUUAUUGUGAUCUGCUUCUCUGUUUUUACAGGACAGAGAAUUAAGAGUCAUGGAAAUUUCAUAUUGCAUUGUUAAAAAAUAUAUAUAUUAUUAGGAUAAAUAAGAUAAGUAAUACAAGUUGAAGAUGUGUAAAUUAAAGAAUUCAAAAC
rnacentral:misc_RNA from 1 species